ensembl:lncRNA
AUUAUUUCAGGCUAUUUGUUAGGUUUGAAAACUCACUUAAUGUACCAAUAAAUCAAACAGUGAAAGAAGCUGGUAUUGAAAGUAGGUGUGUGGAUUUUGGUACUAAGUAGGUGUUUCAUGUGAGGGAAUGGUGAGUGUUACUACAGACUGAAUAAAAUCAUCUGAAUCCUGCAAUCUCCAAAGCAGUAUGACAUUUGGUCUAACUUUGCUAUCAUUGCUCUUGCGAAUAUUCAGUAAAACAGCUUUGUGUGUGUAUCUUCUGUACAAUGUACCAACAUAAUAUACGUGUAAUAUUUGGUAGCUUUUAAUGCAUUUAAUGGCAAUAUAUAAGGGUAUGAACAUUUACAUAAGUAGAAUAAUCAGAAGCUUUCAGAAAACAUCAAAUAUAGCUUAAUACUAAUAUUUAGGUUAUUUUCUACUUAAUAUAUAUUUAUAUACAUAACAGAGCUGCUGCAGAAGAAAAAUGAUGUAGGAGACCAAAGAAAGACAAGCUUGCUUAGGAAAGUCAAGAGAAAAGUAAAUCUCAAACCUCAGCUUCCAUGAUUAUCAUACAAUCAUAGAAUGGCCUGGGUUGAAAAGGACCACAAUGAUCAUCAAGUUUCAACCCCCUUGCUAUAUGCAGGGUCACCAACCACCAGACCAGGCUGCCCAGAGCCACAUCCAGCCUGGCCUUGAAUGCAUCCAGGAAUGGGGCAUCCACAACCUCCUUGGGCAACCUGUUCCAGUGUGUCACCACCCUGUGUAUGAAAAACUUCCUCCUAAUAUCUAACCUAAACUUUCCCAUCUCAGUUUAAGACCAUUCCCCCUUAUCCUAUCAUUAUCCACCCUCGUAAACAGCCAUUCCCCCUCCUGUUUAUAUGCUCCCUUCAAGUACUAGAAGGCCACAGUGAGGUCUCCCUGGAGCCUUCUCUUCUCCAAGCUAAACAAUCCCAGUUCCCUCAACCUUUCCUCAUAGGAGAGGUGCUCCAGCCCUCUGAUCAUCUCUGUAGCCCUCCUCUGGACUCUCGCCAAAAGCUCCACCUCUUUCCUAUGCUGGGGACCCCUGACCUGGAUGCAGUACUCCAGACAAGGCCUCGUGAUGGCAGACUAGAGGGGAACAUUCAUCUCCCUUGCCAUGCUGGCCACCCCUCCUCUUAUGCAGCUCGUGAUGCCACUGGCCUCCUGGGUUGCAAGCACACACUGCUGACUUAAGUUUUUCCAUCUACCAGCACCCCUAAAUCCUUUUCGACAGGGCUACUCUAAAGGAGUUCUCCCAGUUUGUAUACAUAUCUGGGACUACCCCCAACCAAAGUGCAAAACCUUGUACUUUGCUUUGUUGAACCUCAUUAGGAUCACAUGGGCCCACCUUUCAAGUUUUUCAACAUCCAUCUGGAUGGCAUCCCCUCCUCCUGCCGUAUCAGCCACACCACUCAUCUUAGUGUCAG